rnacentral:rRNA from 1 species
GAUGAACGCUGGCGGCGUGCCUAAUACAUGCAAGUCGAACGAACGGAGUUAGAGUUUACUCUGAGGAAGUUAGUGGCGAACGGGUGAGUAAUACAUAAGCAACCUUCCCUUAUGACUGGGAUAACUAUUGGAAACGAUAGCUAAUACCGGAUAGGUAAUUGAGUGGCAUCACUUAAUUAUUAAAGGUUAGAAACACAAAAGGAUGGGCUUAUGGCGCAUUAGCUAGUUGGUGAGGUAGAGGCUCACCAAGGCGAUGAUGCGUAGCCGACCUGAGAGGGUGACCGGCCACACUGGGACUGAGACACGGCCCAGACUCCUACGGGAGGCAGCAGUAGGGAAUCUUCGGCAAUGGACGAAAGUCUGACCGAGCAACGCCGCGUGAGUGAAGAAGGUUUUCGGAUCGUAAAACUCUGUUGGUAGAGAAGAACGUUGGUGAGAGUGGAAAGCUCAUCAAGUGACGGUAACUACCCAGAAAGGGACGGCUAACUACGUGCCAGCAGCCGCGGUAAUACGUAGGUCCCGAGCGUUGUCCGGAUUUAUUGGGCGUAAAGCGAGCGCAGGUGGUUUAUUAAGUCUGGUGUAAAAGGCAGUGGCUCAACCAUUGUAUGCAUUGGAAACUGGUAGACUUGAGUGCAGGAGAGGAGAGUGGAAUUCCAUGU